UAAGCACUUGAGAUAGAAGGACUUAAGCUAAAGGCUUGUAAUUGUAUUGCGUGGUGUUGGUCUUGGUCCACUGCAACUCUCUCUGCUGGCCUUUCGCCGUCUUCUGCGUCCACUUGGCUCCUCUCUAUCUCUUUUUUCUGUCUCUCGAAAACUUGAGUUCUUUCUUCGAGCUUAGUUAGGAGCUUUAAAAGAUCACCCUUUUGGUAACUUCUAUUAUGAUUUACAACUAAGUUUUCGCAUUUUUAAUGCAUUUGGAUUAGCGUUCUUUUGUUGCUUCGAGGAGCUCAGUUUUUCACAAAUUUCCCCUUUCUUCCUAAUUGAUUGGCGAUGGAGUUUAUUCGUUGAUUACUUGUUGCCAAGGAUUUUAAGCCGUUAAUUCUAGUUUCAACUCAACUAUUGUUGGUGUUAGUCCGGCACUGUUCAUUAUUUAUUUAUUUUUUAUUUUUAAAACUGAUCUGGGUUUUUCUGGGUUUUGAGUUUAAUCAUUAGAGAAGCGGAAAAGAUCCAUUUUUUGCAAUUUUUUAAAGGUUAAUUUGGAAUUUUUAUUUUUUUGGGAUCUUUGGGAGCCAUUAAGAAUAGGUUUGACUGGUACUUUAUAUUUAAUUAUAGCUUUUUUUAUAUUUAUAUAAGCCUCACUGAUUACUGAUAAGGAUUGCUGUUUUAAAAGAAAGAUUAUAUUCUGUAAAUUAUGUAGCUGUAGAAGGAGUACUCUUUUCCUUUUCUUUUAUUUCCCUUGUCUGUUGUACUUAUAACUGGGAUUGUCUUAUUGUGGGGGGUUUUUGUCAAGCUUUUAUGUCUUGAAAACUUUUUGGCUCCCUAUAUGUUCUUGGGUUCUUUGAACUUUUGCUAGAGUUAAAAUACUGGUGUUUGGAAGGUACUGAUAAUGGCGAAGUGAUUGAAUUUGGGGCAUUUCUUUUGUAAGAAAAGUGGUGCCAACCCUUCACCAUGCCUUUAUCUGAGCUAUUAUAUCGAUUGGCUAAAGGAAAGCUUGAUUCUUCUCAGGAGAAGAAUCCCACAUGCUCAACUGAUCUAUCUUCCGAACCUGAGAAUGACUUUGUUGAGCUAGUAUGGGAAAAUGGUCAAAUUCAGUCCAAUAGGGCUAGAAAGAUCCAAUGCUCUAGUAGUUUUCCAUCUCAAACCUCCAAGAUUAGAGAUAAAGACAUAAGUAAUGGCAGCAAUGCUAACAUGGGAAGAUUUGGGGUCAUAGACUCUGUAAUAGGUGAAGUUCCAAUGUCCGUGCCGUCUGUUGAAAUGGGUUUGAAUCAAGAUAAUGACGCGUUACCUUGGUUAAAUUAUCCGUUUGAAGACUCUCUGCAACAUGAUUACUGUCCCGAGUUUUUUAUUGAAUUAUCUGGUGUUACUGUAAACGAACAUUCCCAGAAUUGUGCAUCAAUGGAAAAGAGAAGUUGUGGUAAUCAAUCAGUUAAAGAUCCCCAUAAUGCUUCUGUACAUAAUGGUUUGAGUUCAGAUCAAGGGCACAUGACAAAGUUUUCAUCAGCAGUGGAUGUUGAUGCUAAUAGACCUAGAAAUAGUUCCAGUCAGUCAUAUCCAUCUCCAUCACAGCAAUGCCAAACAUCACUUCCAUAUUUUAGAUCCAGAGUUUCAGCUAAUAAUGGUGAUAGUGUAAGCAAUUUGGCUCACCAUGCUACUUCUUUGGAUUCAAUACGAGUUCCACCUUCAGGAGGUGGUUCUAGCAUUAAAGUGCAAAAGCAAGUUCCAGUCUCAUCUGCUACUAGCUCCAGUUUGAUGAAUUUCUCACAUUUCUCAAGACCUGCUGCUUUUGUUAAAGCUAAUCUUCAUAACAAUGGCACAAGAGCUGGUUCAGGAAUAUCAAGCAUCGAAAGAAUGGUUAGUAAGGAUAAGGGUUCAAUUGCAAGCAUUAGCGAUCCUGGUGAAUCCAUACUCAUUGACACAUUUAGUGGUUUACGAAAGGGAAUAAGCUCCAAUUACAAUCCUGUUUUGGUGUCAUCCAAGGUUGAUGCUAAACCAUUGGACCCUAAGCCUGCUGAGGAAUCCCUUCUUGCAAAGCAACCUGAGGCUUUGGACCAAGUAUAUUCUAAGAAUGAUAAAAAUCAUUGCCAAAUUGCUCAAAGUGCAACUCGAGGAUUGGUAGUUGGUGAAAAGACUGCAGAGCCUGUAGUUGCUUCUUCUGUUUGCUCAGGGAAUAGUGUGGAGAUUGUUUCAGAUGAACCAGCACUGAAUUUGAAGAGAAAACCAAGGGAAACAGAGGACUCUGAAGGGCCUAGUGAAGAUGUUGAAGAGGAAUCAGUAGGCGCAAAAAAGGCUGCUCCUGCUCGAGGAGGUGCUGGCUUCAAGAGAAGCCGAGCAGCAGAAGUACAUAAUUUGUCUGAAAGGAGGCGACGAGAUAGGAUCAAUGAGAAGAUGCGUGCCCUGCAAGAACUCAUACCAAACUGCAACAAGGUGGACAAAGCUUCAAUGCUUGAUGAGGCCAUCGAGUAUUUAAAGACACUUCAGCUUCAAGUACAGAUUAUGUCAAUGGGAGCUGGUUUGUAUAUGCCAUCAAUGAUGUUGCCCCCCGGAAUGCUUCACAUGCAUCCUGCUCAUAUGGCUCAAUUCUCACCCAUGGGUGUUGGAAUGGGAAUGGGAAUGGGUUUUGGGAUGGGUAUGCCAGAUAUGGUUGGUGGAUCUUCUGGUUGCUCUAUGAUUCAGGUGCCUUCUAUGCAUGGAGCACAUUUUCCUGGUCCGCCAAUGUCCGGGUCCAGUGCUUUGCAUGGGAUGGGAGGAUCUAACCUUCCAAUAUUUGGGCUUGCUACUCAAGGACAUCCAAUGCCAUAUCCAUGUGCACCCUUACUGCCCAUGUCUGGAGGACCUCUUCUAAAAACUACCAUGGGACUGAAUGCUAGUGGGGUGGCAGGUCCCCUGGAUAAUUUGGAUUCAGCCCCAGUCUGUGGUUCAAAGGAUUCAAUUCAAAACAUCAACUUGCAAGCAAUGCAAAACUGUGGUGCCAAUAGCUUAAUGAAUCAGACAUCUUGUCAGUGCCAAGUGACAAAUGAGCAUUUUGAACAGCCUGCUUUGGUGCAAAAUAGUGGCGAAGCCUCAGAAGUUACUGAUAAGGGAGCUCUGAAGUCAGCCAAUGGGAAUGACAAUGCGCCAACUGGAGCUACUGCAGGUUGUGACUGACAGUCUCUUCCAAUCCCUGUCAUUUAAGAGGUCAACACAUCAUGAUUCCUAUAAAGAUUAAGUCUUUUAUGGUGACUCUAGGAACACAUAAGCUUGCAGAAAAAGGGUUCUAGGCGACUGAAUGAAGUUUAAUCUUAUCAAUGAUCAUUUGUGCUCCAAUUUUGGCACAGUGCAGAUACAGUUUGCGGAAAGAUUUUGUAUGCUUGUUUAGUCCCUUACAAAGAGUAUAGGCUUUAGAGUGGCAAACGAUCACUACUUCCCAUCCUAAAUCUGAAUAAUGGUCACAUUGACAGUUCUAGCAUUUGUGAUUAGGACAGCCCAGGUAAGAAAAUGCAGUGUCCUCAUUUGGUUUCACAACCACCUCAGUGCCAAAAAAGAAUGAAAAAAAAAUCAGUAUCUGAAGAGGGGGAAACACAUUGUCUGAUAUUCUCUUUUCUUUUUAGGAUUUAGGUUAGAUAUUUUUUAGUAUUUCUCCAGAUUCUCCAGAUUCUCUGUAUCAUAAUGGAUAUAUGAAUGCGGUUAGUAUCAAAUAUCAAAUUUGAUUUUAGCCAUCUUGAUGGAACUACUGCAGAAACUGAAAUCCCAUUCAUUGAACUAUUUAUAAUGAUUAUGAUUACAUCUUCAUCUUCUUUAAAA